rnacentral:rRNA from 1 species
GAUCAUGGCUCAGGAUGAACGCUGGCGGCGUGCUUAACACAUGCAAGUCGAACGAUGAAGCCCAGCUUGCUGGGUGGAUUAGUGGCGAACGGGUGAGUAACACGUGAGUAACCUGCCCUUAACUCUGGGAUAAGCCUGGGAAACUGGGUCUAAUACCGGAUAGGAGCGUCCACCGCAUGGUGGGUGUUGGAAAGAUUUAUCGGUUUUGGAUGGACUCGCGGCCUAUCAGCUUGUUGGUGAGGUAA